rnacentral:rRNA from 1 species
UGGGGAAUAUUGGACAAUGGGGGCAACCCUGAUCCAGCAAUGCCGCGUGUGUGAAGAAGGUCUUCGGAUUGUAAAGCACUUUCGACGGGGACGAUGAUGACGGUACCCGUAGAAGAAGCCCCGGCUAACUUCGUGCCAGCAGCCGCGGUAAUACGAAGGGGGCUAGCGUUGCUCGGAAUGACUGGGCGUAAAGGGCGUGUAGGCGGUUUACACAGUCAGAUGUGAAAUCCCCGGGCUUAACCUGGGAGCUGCAUUUGAUACGUGUAGACUAGAGUGUGAGAGAGGGUUGUGGAAUUCCCAGUGUAGAGGUGAAAUUCGUAGAUAUUGGGAAGAACACCGGUGGCGAAGGCGGCAACCUGGCUCAUGACUGACGCUGAGGCGCGAAAAGCGUGGGGAGCAAACAGGAUUAG